GGGUUGUGAGGUUAAGCGACUAAGCGUACACGGUGGAUGCCCUGGCAGUCAGAGGCGAUGAAGGACGUGCUAAUCUGCGAUAAGCGUCGGUGAGGUGAUAUGAACCGUUAUAACCGGCGAUUUCCGAAUGGGGAAACCCAGUGUGUUUCGACACACUAUCAUUAACUGAAUCCAUAGGUUAAUGAGGCGAACCGGGGGAACUGAAACAUCUAAGUACCCCGAGGAAAAGAAAUCAACCGAGAUUCCCCCAGUAGCGGCGAGCGAACGGGGAGGAGCCCAGAGCCUGAAUCAGUGUGUGUGUUAGUGGAAGCGUCUGGAAAGGCGCGCGAUACAGGGUGACAGCCCCGUACACAAAAAUGCACAUAUUGUGAGCUCGAUGAGUAGGGCGGGACACGUGGUAUCCUGUCUGAAUAUGGGGGGACCAUCCUCCAAGGCUAAAUACUCCUGACUGACCGAUAGUGAACCAGUACCGUGAGGGAAAGGCGAAAAGAACCCCGGCGAGGGGAGUGAAAAAGAACCUGAAACCGUGUACGUACAAGCAGUGGGAGCCUCUUAAUGGGGUGACUGCGUACCUUUUGUAUAAUGGGUCAGCGACUUAUAUUCUGUAGCAAGGUUAACCGAAUAGGGGAGCCGAAGGGAAACCGAGUCUUAACUGGGCGUUAAGUUGCAGGGUAUAGACCCGAAACCCGGUGAUCUAGCCAUGGGCAGGUUGAAGGUUGGGUAACACUAACUGGAGGACCGAACCGACUAAUGUUGAAAAAUUAGCGGAUGACUUGUGGCUGGGGGUGAAAGGCCAAUCAAACCGGGAGAUAGCUGGUUCUCCCCGAAAGCUAUUUAGGUAGCGCCUCGUGAAUUCAUCUCCGGGGGUAGAGCACUGUUUCGGCAAGGGGGUCAUCCCGACUUACCAACCCGAUGCAAACUGCGAAUACCGGAGAAUGUUAUCACGGGAGACACACGGCGGGUGCUAACGUCCGUCGUGAAGAGGGAAACAACCCAGACCGCCAGCUAAGGUCCCAAAGUCAUGGUUAAGUGGGAAACGAUGUGGGAAGGCCCAGACAGCCAGGAUGUUGGCUUAGAAGCAGCCAUCAUUUAAAGAAAGCGUAAUAGCUCACUGGUCGAGUCGGCCUGCGCGGAAGAUGUAACGGGGCUAAACCAUGCACCGAAGCUGCGGCAGCGACACUAUGUGUUGUUGGGUAGGGGAGCGUUCUGUAAGCCUGUGAAGGUGUGCUGUGAGGCAUGCUGGAGGUAUCAGAAGUGCGAAUGCUGACAUAAGUAACGAUAAAGCGGGUGAAAAGCCCGCUCGCCGGAAGACCAAGGGUUCCUGUCCAACGUUAAUCGGGGCAGGGUGAGUCGACCCCUAAGGCGAGGCCGAAAGGCGUAGUCGAUGGGAAACAGGUUAAUAUUCCUGUACUUGGUGUUACUGCGAAGGGGGGACGGAGAAGGCUAUGUUGGCCGGGCGACGGUUGUCCCGGUUUAAGCGUGUAGGCUGGUUUUCCAGGCAAAUCCGGAAAACCAAGGCUGAGGCGUGAUGACGAGGCACUACGGUGCUGAAGCGACAAAUGCCCUGCUUCCAGGAAAAGCCUCUAAGCAUCAGGUAACAUCAAAUCGUACCCCAAACCGACACAGGUGGUCAGGUAGAGAAUACCAAGGCGCUUGAGAGAACUCGGGUGAAGGAACUAGGCAAAAUGGUGCCGUAACUUCGGGAGAAGGCACGCUGAUAUGUAGGUGAAGCGACUUGCUCGUGGAGCUGAAAUCAGUCGAAGAUACCAGCUGGCUGCAACUGUUUAUUAAAAACACAGCACUGUGCAAACACGAAAGUGGACGUAUACGGUGUGACGCCUGCCCGGUGCCGGAAGGUUAAUUGAUGGGGUUAGCGGUAACGCGAAGCUCUUGAUCGAAGCCCCGGUAAACGGCGGCCGUAACUAUAACGGUCCUAAGGUAGCGAAAUUCCUUGUCGGGUAAGUUCCGACCUGCACGAAUGGCGUAAUGAUGGCCAGGCUGUCUCCACCCGAGACUCAGUGAAAUUGAACUCGCUGUGAAGAUGCAGUGUACCCGCGGCAAGACGGAAAGACCCCGUGAACCUUUACUAUAGCUUGACACUGAACAUUGAGCCUUGAUGUGUAGGAUAGGUGGGAGGCUUUGAAGUGUGGACGCCAGUCUGCAUGGAGCCGACCUUGAAAUACCACCCUUUAAUGUUUGAUGUUCUAACGUUGGCCCGUAAUCCGGGUUGCGGACAGUGUCUGGUGGGUAGUUUGACUGGGGCGGUCUCCUCCUAAAGAGUAACGGAGGAGCACGAAGGUUGGCUAAUCCUGGUCGGACAUCAGGAGGUUAGUGCAAUGGCAUAAGCCAGCUUGACUGCGAGCGUGACGGCGCGAGCAGGUGCGAAAGCAGGUCAUAGUGAUCCGGUGGUUCUGAAUGGAAGGGCCAUCGCUCAACGGAUAAAAGGUACUCCGGGGAUAACAGGCUGAUACCGCCCAAGAGUUCAUAUCGACGGCGGUGUUUGGCACCUCGAUGUCGGCUCAUCACAUCCUGGGGCUGAAGUAGGUCCCAAGGGUAUGGCUGUUCGCCAUUUAAAGUGGUACGCGAGCUGGGUUUAGAACGUCGUGAGACAGUUCGGUCCCUAUCUGCCGUGGGCGCUGGAGAACUGAGGGGGGCUGCUCCUAGUACGAGAGGACCGGAGUGGACGCAUCACUGGUGUUCGGGUUGUCAUGCCAAUGGCACUGCCCGGUAGCUAAAUGCGGAAGAGAUAAGUGCUGAAAGCAUCUAAGCACGAAACUUGCCCCGAGAUGAGUUCUCCCUGAGACUUAGAGUCUCCUGAAGGAACGUUGAAGACGACGACGUUGAUAGGCCGGGUGUGUAAGCGCAGUGAUGCGUUGAGCUAACCGGUACUAAUGAACCGUGAGGCUUAACCUUACAACGCCGAAG
rnacentral:rRNA from 1 species